rnacentral:rRNA from 1 species
ACCAGACUCCUACGGGAGGCAGCAGUGAGGAAUAUUGGUCAAUGGGCGGGAGCCUGAACCAGCCAAGCCGCGUGAAGGAAGAAGGCGCCAGGCGUCGUAAACUUCUUUUGUCGGGGAACAAAGGGCGCCACGCGUGGCGUUGUGAGUGUACCCGAAGAAAAAGCAUCGGCUAACUCCGUGCCAGCAGCCGCGGUAAUACGGAGGAUGCGAGCGUUAUCCGGAUUUAUUGGGUUUAAAGGGUGCGCAGGCGGAUUUUUAAGUCAGCGGUCAAAUCGUGGGGCUCAACCCCAUCCAGCCGUUGAAACUGGGGAUCUAGAGUGUGCGAGAGGUAUGCGGAAUGCGUGGUGUAGCGGUGAAAUGCAUAGAUAUCACGCAGAACCCCGAUUGCGAAGGCAGCCUUCCGGCGCCCUACUGACGCUGAGGCACGAAAGUGCGGGGAUCGAACAGGAUUAGAUACCCGUGUAGG